rnacentral:tRNA from 1 species
GGGCCUAUAGCUCAGUUGGUUAGAGCAUCUGACUCAUAAUCAGAGGGUCGGUGGUUCAAGUCCAUCUGGGCCCAC